GACGGAGGAUGCAAGCGUUAUCCGGAAUGAUUGGGCGUAAAGCGUCCGCAGGUGGCAGCUCAAGUCUGCUGUCAAAGCCCACGGCUUAACUGUGGAAAGGCAGUGGAAACUGAGUAGCUAGAGUGCGGUAGGGGCAGAGGGAAUUCCCAGUGUAGCGGUGAAAUGCGUAGAGAUUGGGAAGAACACCGGUGGCGAAAGCGCUCUGCUAGACCGUAACUGACACUCACAGGACGAAAGCUAGGGGAGCGAAUGGG
rnacentral:rRNA from 1 species